rnacentral:rRNA from 1 species
CUACGGGAGGCUGCAGUGAGGGAUUUUGCGCAAUGGGGGGAACCCUGACGCAGCAACGCCGCGUGAGUGAAGAAGGCCCUUGGGUCGUAAAGCUCUGUCAACAGGGAAGAAGUUAUGGAUUUUUAAUAGAGAUUUGUAUUGACGGUACCUGUGAAGGAAGCACCGGCUAACUCCGUGCCAGCAGCCGCGGUAAUACGGGGGGUGCAAGCGUUAUUCGGAAUUAUUGGGCGUAAAGGGCGAGCAGGCGGCCUUGUCAGUCAGAUGUGAAAGGCCAGGGCUCAACCCUGGAAGUGCAUUUGAAACAGCAAGGCUUGAGUACGGUAGAGGAAAGGGGAAUUCCUGGUGUAGAGGUGAAAUUCGUAGAUAUCAGGAGGAACACCGGUGGCGAAGGCGCCUUUCUGGACCUGUACUGACGCUGAGGCGCGAAGGCGUGGGUAGCGAACAGGAUUAGAUACCCUAGUAGUC